CCUACGGGUGGCAGCAGUGGGGAAUAUUGGGCAAUGGGCGAAAGCCUGACCCAGCAAUGCCGCGUGAAUGAAGAAGGUCUUAGGAUUGUAAAAUUCUAUCCUAUGGGCAGAAACAAAUGACGGUACCAUAGGAGGAAGCCCCGGCUAACUACGUGCCAGCAUCCGCGGUAAUACGUAGGGGGCGAGCGUUGUCCGGAAUUACUGGUCUUAAAGAGAUCGUAGGCGGCACUACAAGUCUAAUGGUAAAUACCCGGGGUUAACUUGGGGGGUGCAUGGGAAACUGUAGAGCUUGAGUACAGGAGAGGCAAGCGGAAUUCAUAGUGUAGCGGUGAAAUGCAUAGAUAUUAGGAGGAACACCAGUGGCGAAGGCGGCUUGCUGGACUGAAACUGACGCUGAGGCUCGAAAGCGUGGGGAGCAAACAGGAUUAGAUACCCCGGUAGUC
rnacentral:rRNA from 1 species